GUCUGGGGUUUAUUUCUUUAUUCAGUGUUGAGAACCUAUAACAGGUCAGAUGCUUCCUAUAGGAGACAGCACUGAAAGCCAUAAGAUCAGUAGAAGAUUAAACCAAUUAGAGAAAGCAGCCUUGGUGAGCCUUCAGGAUGGAACUCCGUGGAGUUUUUGAGAAUCAGGCUCUGUUUCCUACAGUGAUGUAUUUGGUAAUGACAUUUAUGGAAGACAGCCCCCAUGGAAGAGCAUGGAAUGCAGGCAUCACCUUAAGGGAUUCAUCUUCCUUUCCUUCUAACUAACUUAAAUGCCACGCUGUGUUUCUGGAUUCGUUAGCAACUCUGGGCACAUUUCCCUCCAAUUGCCUCUGUCAACCCAGCAAGCUGUUCUUCUGACUUCAAAGUGUAAAUAUUUUUGCUUCAUCAUCAGUUUUGUAGUCUUAAGGGAGAGUUAGCUUACCUAAAAAGAAACCAUACUUUGCAAAGAAAACAACAGAAUAUAAACGCUAAUCAAUGCUUUCUUUUAAAAUAUGUAUGCCUUUUCCUCCAAGAAGAAAAAGACAAAGAAACUUUGUUUUAUUAAAGAAUAAAAGCAAAGUGUAAGAGAUUCCAUUGAAGAGUAAAAGUUGUAUUUUUAAAAUUCAGGUUAUUAAAAUCACACAACACAUUUAACCAAAUUAUUUAUGUAUUCAUGUAUUCCGAUAAUUAUUCAAAUCAGGAACGGAACAGUUCCAAAAAAAUUUAAAUAUUUCUAAGCAAAAGUUCCUAAGUUACUCAUCAUUUCUGCAAAAUUACCUGAAUAUAGCUGCAUAAUGAAUGGUAAAGUAUCACUUAUUAUUCAUAUUGGUUUUGCUUUCAACUAAGAGGCUUUAAUCCUUUUGGCAGCCCUCAUUUUAGAUUUUGGAGUACAAAAUCAGACUUUCUAGCUUACCACAUGGCAAAACCCUGAAGAAUCUUUCAACCCGGAAGUGGCAAUAUGUUGAACUCAAUCUAAAAUAUAAGUGUUGCAGGCAGGGUUUCUAACAGCGUCAGAAAACAGGGUGCAUUUCCACCGCAGUUUGCAAAUGUCUUUGUCAGGUGGCUGUUUAAACUCUGGUCAAAUUUUACUCUUGUGGGGAAAUGAAAACAUGAAUUAUACUUGGGGCAUUUAUUUGAUUUCUUAAAACUACACUCCAAAUGAAAGUUUUAAUGAGAAAAAAUAGAUGGGAAUAAAACUUUUAAGGAUCCCAUUGAACUGGGUAAAUCAUUUGAGUUAGGGAACCUCGGCUUUCUUCAAGUUUUUCUAAUUGGUUAUUGAAGGAGCUGUUUUAAACUUCCAAGAUUAUUGUACUUACUAUGAAUAAAUGGAAAGAAAUGCCAAUUUUUGAGGACCUAUCGUGGCUUGGCAACGUCUGAAGUGUGGUCCUAUAAUACCUUCUUUGCUUUCCCCCAGGAGCUUACAGAUUCAUAGCAUCUCCUCAUUUCACAAGUGAAGAGAGACACAAAGAUCCAGCAACAUGCUCAGAAUCUCCAAGCUCAUACACUCAGGCAUUGCUCUCCACUGCUAAUCAUGCUUAUUGUUCAGGCUUAAGAAGAUUUUAUUUCUGUUCCAUUAUAUAGGACCUUACAAAAAACAAACAAACAAACA